UAAUUAUGAUUAUGAUAAUUCUCACCUUGUAAUUGGAAAUCGUCUUGAAAUGCACAGUUUUCCUCAUUAUUUUCUAAACAACUUGGUCCAGCUGCGUGAUCAGUUUGCUGACCACGUAAUAUAAGGUUUUCGUCAAAACAUUUAUUCUCUUCUUGACCUGUUGACUUCGCAUUUUUGUACUAAAACAAUCAAGCUCGAUACGCAUCUAUCAUUGUGAACCAUUGAACAUUUCCUUCAGCACAUGCCUCUCUACAUGCUCUAUUUAUAGUUAUAUGUAAAAUUCAAAUUUAAAUUUGUCAUUGAACGGAAGUUUAUUAUGCAGCAGUAUA
rnacentral:lncRNA from 1 species